rnacentral:rRNA from 1 species
AUGAACGCUAGCUACAGGCUUAACACAUGCAAGUCGAGGGGCAGCAUGGUCUUAGCUUGCUAAGGCCGAUGGCGACCGGCGCACGGGUGAGUAACACGUAUCCAACCUGCCGUCUACUCUUGGACAGCCUUCUGAAAGGAAGAUUAAUACAAGAUGGCAUCAUGAGUCCACAUGUUCACAUGAUUAAAGGUAUUCCGGUAGACGAUGGGGAUGCGUUCCAUUAGAUAGUAGGCGGGGUAACGGCCCACCUAGUCUUCGAUGGAUAGGGGUUCUGAGAGGAAGGUCCCCCACAUUGGAACUGAGACACGGUCCAAACUCCUACGGGAGGCAGCAGUGAGGAAUAUUGGUCAAUGGGCGAGAGCCUGAACCAGCCAAGUAGCGUGAAGGAUGACUGCCCUAUGGGUUGUAAACUUCUUUUGUAAAGGAAUAAAGUCGGGUAUGGAUACCCGUUUGCAUGUACUUUAUGAAUAAGGAUCGGCUAACUCCGUGCCAGCAGCCGCGGUAAUACGGAGGAUCCGAGCGUUAUCCGGAUUUAUUGGGUUUAAAGGGAGCGUAGAUGGAUGUUUAAGUCAGUUGUGAAAGUUUGCGGCUCAACCGUAAAAUUGCAGUUGAUACUGGAUAUCUUGAGUGCAGUUGAGGCAGGCGGAAUUCGUGGUGUAGCGGUGAAAUGCUUAGAUAUCACGAAGAACUCCGAUUGCGAAGGCAGCCUGCUAAGCUGCAACUGACAUUGAGGCUCGAAAGUGUGGGUAUCAAACAGGAUUAGAUACCCUGGUAGUCCACACGGUAAACGAUGAAUACUCGCUGUUUGCGAUAUACGGCAAGCGGCCAAGCGAAAGCGUUAAGUAUUCCACCUGGGGAGUACGCCGGCAACGGUGAAACUCAAAGGAAUUGACGGGGGCCCGCACAAGCGGUGGAGCAUGUGGUUUAAUUCGACGCAACGCGAAGAACCUUACCAAGUCUUGACAUCCCUUGACGAUGCUGGAAACAGUAUUUCUCUUCGGAGCAAGGAGACAGGUGGUGCAUGGUUGUCGUCAGCUCGUGUCGUGAGAUGUUGGGUUAAGUCCCGCAACGAGCGCAACCCUUAUGGUCAGUUACUACGCAAGAGGACUCUGGCCAGACUGCCGUUGACAAAACGGAGGAAGGUGGGGAUGACGUCAAAUCAGCACGGCCCUUACGUCCGGGGCUACACACGUGUUACAAUGGGGGGUACAGAGGGCCGCUACCACGCGAGUGGAUGCCAAUCCCAAAAACCUCUCUCAGUUCGGACUGGAGUCUGCAACCCGACUCCAUGAAGCUGGAUUCGCUAGUAAUCGCGCAUCAGCCACGGCGCGGUGAAUACGUUCCCGGGCCUUGUACACACCGCCCGUCACACCACGAAAGUUGGUAACACCCGAAGCCGGUGAGGUAACCUAUUAGGAGCCAGCCGUCUAAGGUGGGGCCGAUGAUUGGGGUG